GAUGAACGCUGGCGGCGUGCUUAACACAUGCAAGUCGAACGAUUAAAGCCCCUUCGGGGGUGUAUAGAGUGGCGAACGGGUGAGUAACACGUGGGUAACCUGCCCUCUGCUUCGGGAUAACUCAGGGAAACUUGAGCUAAUACCGAAUACUCCGGACUGAUCGCAUGGUCGGUCCGGGAAAGUUCCGGCGGCAAAGGAUGGACCCGCGGCCCAUUAGCUUGUUGGUAGGGUAACGGCCUACCAAGGCGACGAUGGGUAGCCGAGCUGAGAGGCUGGUCGGCCACACUGGGACUGAGACACAGCCCAGACUCCUACGGGAGGCAACAGUGGGGAAUUUUGCGCAAUGGGCGAAAGCCUGACGCAGCAACGCCGCGUGCGGGAUGAAGGCCUUCGGGUUGUAAACCGCUUUCAGCAGGGAUGAACACAGACAGUACCUGCAGAAGAAGCCCCGGCUAACUACGUGCCAGCCGCCGCCGUAAGAC
rnacentral:rRNA from 1 species